CAUGCCGCGUGCAGGAUGACAGCCUAUGGGUCGUAAACUGCUUUUGUACGGGAAUAAACCCUUCUACGUGUAGAAGGCUGAAGGUACCGUAAGAAUAAGGAUCGGCUAACUCCGUGCCAGCAGCCGCGGUAAUACGGAGGAUCCAAGCGUUAUCCGGAUUCAUUGGGUUUAAAGGGUGCGUAGGCGGAUUUGUAAGUCAGGGGUGAAAGCCAACAGCUUAACUGUUGAAUUGCCCUUGAUACUGCCAAUCUUGAGUAUAUUUGAAGUGGGCGGAAUGUGUCAUGUAGCGGUGAAAUGCAUAGAUAUGACACAGAACACCGAUUGCGUAGGCAGCUCACUAAACUAUAACUGACGCUGAGGCACGAAAGCGUGGGGAUCAAACAGGAUUAGAUACCCUGGUAGUCCACGCCGUAAACUAUGAUUACUCGAUGUUGGCGAUACACAGUCAGCGUCUAAGCGAAAGCGUUAAGUAAUCCACCUGGGGAGUACGGUCGCAAGAUUGAAACUCAAAGGAAUUGACGGGGGCCCGCACAAGCGGAGGAGCAUGUGGUUUAAUUCGAUGAUACGCGAGGAACCUUACCAGGGCUUGAAAGUUAGUGACCGACCCUGAAAGGGGUCUUUCAGCAAUGACACAAAACUAGGUGCUGCAUGGCUGUCGUCAGCUCGUGCCGUGAGGUGUUGGGUUAAGUCCCGCAACGAGCGCAACCCCUAUCUUUAGUUGCCAGCGGGUAAUGUCGGGGACUCUAAAGAAACUGCCCGCGUAAGCGUGAGGAAGGUGGGGAUGACGUCAAGUCAGCACGGCCCUUACGUCCUGGGCUACACACGUGCUACAAUGGUCGAUACAAAGGGCAGCUACAUGGUGACAUGAUGCAAAUCUCUAAAGUCGAUCUCAGUUCGGAUCGAAGUCUGCAACUCGACUUCGUGAAGCUGGAUUCGCUAG
rnacentral:rRNA from 1 species